UGUCUUUGCACAGAGGCUAGCCACCCCUAUAUAUUGUUCAGCAUGACGUCAGAUGGUAUGGAAUAUCCCUUCGGCCAGCUUGGGUCAGCUGUACUGGGUCUGUCCCCUCCCAGCUCCUGCUGCACCCCUAGCCUGCUCGCUGGCAGGACAGAGCGAGAAGCUGAAAAGUCCUUGGCUUGGUGUAAGCACUGCUCUACAACAAUUAAAACAU